GGGCGCAAGCCUGAUGCAGCGACGCCGCGUGAGGGAUGGAGGCCUUCGGGUUGUAAACCUCUUUUGUUUGGGAGCAAGCCUUCGGGUGAGUGUACCUUUCGAAUAAGCGCCGGCUAACUACGUGCCAGCAGCCGCGGUAAUACGUAGGGCGCAANMRWWAWNCGGAUUUAUUGGGCGUAAAGGGCUCGUAGGCGGCUCGUCGCGUCCGGUGUGAAAGUCCAUCGCUUAACGGUGGAUCUGCGCCGGGUACGGGCGGGCUGGAGUGCGGUAGGGGAGACUGGAAUUCCCGGUGNAACGGUGGAAUGUGUAGAUAUCGGGAAGAACACC
rnacentral:rRNA from 1 species